rnacentral:rRNA from 1 species
CAGCAGCCGCGGUAAUACGAAGGGGGCUAGCGUUGUUCGGAAUUACUGGGCGUAAAGCGCACGUAGGCGGCUUUGUAAGUUAGAGGUGAAAGCCUGGAGCUCAACUCCAGAAUUGCCUUUAAGACUGCAUCGCUUGAAUCCGGGAGAGGUGAGUGGAAUUCCGAGUGUAGAGGUGAAAUUCGUAGAUAUUCGGAAGAACACCAGUGGCGAAGGCGGCUCACUGGACCGGCAUUGACGCUGAGGUGCGAAAGCGUGGGGAGCAAACAGGAUUAGAUACCCGUGUAGUCCCUGUCUCUUAUAC